GAUGAACGCUGGCGGCGUGCCUAAUACAUGCAAGUCGAGCGAACAGACGAGGAGCUUGCUCCUCUGACGUUAGCGGCGGACGGGUGAGUAACACGUGGAUAACCUACCUAUAAGACUGGGAUAACUUCGGGAAACCGGAGCUAAUACCGGAUAAUAUAUUGAACCGCAUGGUUCAAUAGUGAAAGACGGUUUUGCUGUCACUUAUAGAUGGAUCCGCGCCGCAUUAGCUAGUUGGUAAGGUAACGGCUUACCAAGGCAACGAUGCGUAGCCGACCUGAGAGGGUGAUCGGCCACACUGGAACUGAGACGCGGUCCAGACUCCUACGGGAGGCAGCAGUAGGGAAUCUUCCGCAAUGGGCGAAAGCUUGACGGAGCAACGCCGCGUGAGUGAUGAAGGUCUUCGGAUCGUAAAACUCGGUUAUUAGGGAAGAACAAAUGUGUAAGUAACUAUGCACGUCUUGACGGUACCUAAUCAGAAAGCCACGGCUAACUACGUG
rnacentral:rRNA from 1 species